GGAUAGACAGCUCAGUGGUAGAGCACAUGCUUAGCAUGCAAAAGGUCCUGGGUUCAAUCCCCAGUCCCUCCA
rnacentral:tRNA from 1 species